GGGCGGGGCGGCGGGGCUGGGCCGGUGCCCGCCCGAGCAGUGCGAGGUCACCCGCUGCACCGGCCCCGGGAGCGCGGGCACGGAAUGAAUGGGGGAGCGGCCGCGCCGGACACUCGGGAGCCGGCGCUCGGUCCCUGUCACCUCUAAAGGGACGCCUGAAGAAGUCGCAACAAGUGUCUGACCUAAAAAUGAGGCAAGAAACGCGUCUUUCCAUGGCCUCACCAUCCCAGCCGUGCUUGUGUAACGCUCCCUGCCUACACAGCUUGCACCUUGGAUUAAAAGCUACUAUUGCUACUCUGCUUUCCGAGUGUGACCUCUGCUAGUGGCUGUCACUGUGAUUUCAGCCAGGAAUUGGCAUUAAUGAAGCACUUAACUAUGUGAAAUUCACUACUGGAUUCAGUGCUAUCUUGAAGAUCUUUUCCAAUCUAAACGAUUCCACAGGGUAUCCGUGCUGCUUAUGUAACUUAUUUUCAAGGUUAUGAUUUCGCUUCUAAUGCAUAGAAGACUCAAAAGAUGGGAGUUUGAUGGUAAAUUAUAUACAGGCAUAUUGUAUAUGAAAGUAAAAUACGUGUAGUAGAUCGUAUACUUGCUCUAAAUGUCAUUUAGAUUUUUGUGCUACCAGAAUGCAAGUACUUUAUUAAAUGUGGAGACCAUGGAAACGUGA